rnacentral:rRNA from 1 species
GACGAGCAUCACAAACGUUAUUCGGAAUUACUGGGCUUAAAGGGCGCGUAGGCGGGCCCGCAAGUCAGGGGUGAAAUCCCACGGCUCAACCGUGGAAGUGCCUUUGAUACUGUGGGUCUUGAGGGAGGUAGGGGCGUGCGGAACUUCCGGUGGAGCGGUGAAAUGCGUAGAUAUCGGAAGGAACACCGGUGGCGAAAGCGGCGCGCUGGACCUCUUCUGACGCUGAGGCGCGAAAGCGUGGGGAUCAAACAGG